rnacentral:lncRNA from 1 species
AAAUUCUGUGAGACAGCCCCGGGCACAGGGCACCAGUACUGCGCCGUGCGUCAUUUCACGGACCUCAAUGUUUUGUUAUCAACCGGCCCAGAAUAUUUUUGUGCGCUUUUAUUUUCAGCCCACCCCGACCCCUUUGUCGCUUUCAUUCCACUUUUAUUUUUAUUUCUAUUUCGAUUUUUAUUUUUAUUCCUCACUUCAUUAACCCGAACCAACCCCCCCCCCCCCCCCCCAACCCCCAGCGCGCUGCCUCCCCGCUUCCGGCUUCCCCGCCUCGCCCCCCCCCCCUCCCACUCCCGCGCGCUGACGUCACGGCGGCGGACCCCGGAAGCGGAGCGGAGCGGAACGAGGCGGGGUGGGGAGGGGAGGGGGGUGGGGAGGCGCCGGCCCCGCCCCGCCCCGCGUGUCCGGGCGCAGGCUGAACAGUCCCAGCUCUUGCUGCCUCUUCCCAGCUGUCAGAUGCUCCACGCUCCUCCUCACCUCUGUCACCUUUCACCGGACCCCCUGCAGGACGGCCGUGCCUGUCUCGUGCUGGGGAGCCCAGAGCUGGACGCAGCACUCCAGGCCUCAUGUCAAGCUUGCGCAACAUCAGGUGUAAAGGCUAGAAUUUCUUCCCUGCACCCUUCUAAAUUGUGGAAUUUCCCCUUUCCAACUUGGAAAAGCCUGAAGCAAUACUAGCUAUAUUUCUGAAGCUUCAGAGACAGCUACCCAAAAGCUCUACCUGUUGGAGUGAAGACAUUUGCUUCCAAAGACCCUUGCAAGAUUGAGAACUAUUUUAAAGUUGGGCCAUUUUUGGUGUAGGCUUGUUUAAGCAGUUGCUUUCCACUUCGUUUGAAGUUUAUAAGGAAUUCUUGUGGGAGUGAAAUAUCUGGCUAGUUAAGAUGUAUUUUACCAGAGAUAUAAAAUAAUAUUUGUCUCCUUGUUGUGGUAUAACCCAGCAGGCAGCUCAGCACCGUGCAGCUGUUGGCUCGCCCCCCACCUCCCAGUGCGACAGGGAAGAGAACUGUGAGGGGGAAAAAAGAUAAAAAUCAUGGGUUGAGAUAAAGACAGCUUAAUAGGACAGAAAAGGAAGGGAAAUAAUAAUGAUAAUAAUAGCUACAGAAUGUACAAAGCAAGUGAUGCACAGUGCAACUCCAUCAUCUGACCGAUGCCCAGCCAGACCCUGAGCAGCAGCAGCCCCCUGGCCAGCCCCCACAUAUAAUUGUCCUGCAUGAAGCCCCACGGUAUGGGACAUCUCUCUGGUGGCUGGGGGCGGCUGUCCUGGCUCUGUCCCCUGCCAGCUCCUCACUGGCAGGGCAGUGUGAGAAGCUGGGAAGUCCUUGGCUUAGUGCAAGCACUGCUCUGCAACAGCUACAGGUCGGUGUGUGUCGUGGUUUAACCCGGCCGGCAGCUAAACACCACGCAGCCGUUCGCUCGCCCUCCCCCUCCCUCUCCGGGACGGGGGAGAGAAAUGGAAAGUAAAGCCCGUGAGUUGAGAUAAAGACAGUUUAAUAAGACAGGAAAGUAAUAAUAACAACAAUAAUAAUAAUAAUAAUACAAUGGUAGUAAUAGUACUACUGCUAAUAAUAUGUACAAACAAGUGAUGCACAAUGCAAUUGCUCACCACCCGCUGACCGAUGCCCAGCCUAACCCCGAGCAGUCCGGCCCCCUCCCCCCGGCUAGCCACCCCUAUAUAUCGUUUAGCAUGACCCCAGAUGGGAUGGAAUACCCCUUUGGCUAGUUUGGGUCACCUGUCCUGGGUCUGUCCCCUCCCAGCUCUUACUGCACCCCCCAGCCUGCCUGUUGGCAGGACAGAGCAAAAGGUGUCCGUGGCUCUGCUCCGUAACAAUUAAAACAUCGGGGUGUUAUCAGCACUCUUCUCAUCCCAAGCCAAAACACAGCAUUCCACCAGCUACUAGGAAGAAAAUUCUGUUCUAACUGAAAACAGGACAGUGUGUUAUCAGCAUUGUUCUCAUCCUGAAUCCAAAACACUG